GGUCACGUGACGGAGACGUUCGUGACGUCACACGCGGCGUCCUUAUAUACUGGGAACUAGGCGCUACCGUCUUAGAACUGGGAAUCUGUCCUUUUGUUUCUAAGAUCGGCUUUGGCACAGCUAAGAAAACUCUUUAUUAGUAAUGGAGUACAUGAAAGAGCCUGCAACAAGCAGCCAGGGCAACAUACUUUGCUGCCAGUGUGGCAUUCCAAUCCCCCCCCCAAUCCAGCCAACAUGUGUGUAGCCUGCUUGCGGACACAGGUUGACAUUAGCGAGGACAUCCCAAAGCAAGUGUCAGUGCAUUUCUGCAAACAAUGUGAACGGUACGACUUAUCGAUGCAGGCUUUGUCUGGACUGAGCAUCAUUCAAAGAGGCUUAAAGUAAAGCUAACCAUACAAAAGAAGGUGAUGAAUGGAGCAAUUCUUCAGCAGGUUUUUGUGGUAGACUAUGUUGUUCAAUCCCAGAUGUGUGAUGAUGUGCCAUAGAGUAGAAGCUAAAGAUUUCUGGAAAGCUGUGGUCCAGGUCCGUCAAAAAGUAAGAAUAAAUGCAGCAGAGGUAGCUUGUAUUUCCACCCUUCUUAUGGGCUGUAAUACACAUCAGUCCCAGCCCCAAUAUAGUUUACAAUCUAAGAUUCUGAUAACAUUUAAUUACUCAAUUUCAUUUGAAGCCAAUCAACCUGCCUCUAUGCAUUUUGAGUAUGAAAGGAAACCGGAGUUCCUGGUUGAAACACACAGAGACGCAAGGAGAACAUACAAACUCAGUAAGGCAGAAGUGCUAACCACUGAGCUACCUGAUAGUUCCUUGCAUAUACCGGACUAUCUACAGUGGCUAAAUCCCUUUAUAAUACACAAAAGCCAUGCAUUUCCUGUAAAUUAUAUCUUAUAAAUGGUGACUAGUGAUGUCAUUAGUUAUAAACGGCGAGUAGUGAUGUCAUUUUUAUCACAUGACUCACUAACGGUCAUGGAACUGCUCUGUGACUUAUAAUAUCCUUAUAUUUUACAAUAAGCGAUACUUUAUUCACUAUAUCAUUGAUGACAAAUGUAGGGGAAGAUUGGGUAACUGCUCAAGUCACAUCCAUAGUCAUGAUUUUAAAGGACAACAAAAGGGUUACAUACUAAGUGGCAGGACUGGACUGGGAGUCAAAAUAGGCCCUGCCAUUCCAAGUACACAGAGGCCCAAACAGCCCCCCACCAGCCCAAACAGCCCCCUACCAGCCCACUAUAUGGUAGAUUUCUAUAGAACCAUACAGCAGCCCCUCUGGCAUUUGCCAGAACCCACAGAUUGCCAGUCCGGGCCUGCUAAGUGGGGCCAGGCACUACACUGGGAAGGUCUCUAACAAAUUGGCUAAACCCCCCCCCCCCUUGAGAUGAACCCUUUCCUUGACUCGUAUAUCAAACUCCAAAAUGCUCCAUGGGGCUUCCACCAACCAUAAUGAUGGUACAGGCAACAGAAAAGUGAACGCAGGUAGGGUAGUAUGGAGAACAUUGGGCUACAAGGGGCUUCUUUUUGGUUCUUUGGUGAUAUCACUACAUUCAUUUACUGCUUUAAUAUUAUUGACAUAAAGGUCAAUCCAAAGUUCUGCAUAAUAAAAGAUAACUGUCAUGGAUUUUAACUAUACAGUUGUACACUCCAGGUUCUUCACAGAAAGACCUUCUACUAUUUGAACAGAUUAUUCUGAAACACAGACUUCAUCAGAACACACUGCGUGUCAAAGAGAUUCAUGGAGAAAAGCGUCACUAACAAAAGAGAAAAUGUACUGAAAGAGUGUGUGGAAUGGCACUGCUGAUUCUUGAAGAACUGUGGAUAGCAGGUUUCUGGAUAAUACAUACCAAGCCUGUAGUUUAAUAUUGUGACUGAUUUUAGCUGCUGAAUAACAUUUCUUAAUAAUCAGGUGCAAGAGUGCGUUCCUUUCUUUAUAGGGAUUAUGCUCGCUGAUAUUUACGCAAAUUGGUGGAACAUUUCUAAUUACACACAGAGCAGAUAAAAAACAUAAGAUAUUGCAUAUUCAGACAAAGGAGCCAUUUAUAGAGGAAACAUUUUUCACGACCCACAUGAUUAACUCAGUCCUGUCCUGAGACAAUUAGAGCAAUUGAACUGUACAGAGCAAGUAUUCAGACCCUAGUCCUCAAUAAAGGGUGUCAACCCAAAAAAUAAUUGUUUUGCCUAAUAAAAUAACAUAAUUCUA